UACGGAGGAUCCAAGCGUUAUCCGGAAUCAUUGGGUUUAAAGGGUCCGUAGGCGGGCCUGUAAGUCAGUGGUGAAAUCUUUCGGCUCAACCGGAAAAUUGCCAUUGAUACUGCAGGCCUUGAAUUAUUGGGAAGUAACUAGAAUAUGUAGUGUAGCGGUGAAAUGCUUAGAUAUUACAUGGAAUACCGAUUGCGAAGGCAGGUUACUAUCAAUAUAUUGACGCUGAUGGACGAAAGCGUGGGGAGCGAAC
rnacentral:rRNA from 1 species